rnacentral:tRNA from 5 species
GAUUCUAAAUUAAACUACCCUCUG